rnacentral:rRNA from 1 species
AGAGUUUAGCGUAUGCGCAAGUCAUUGGGUGUUCAAAACCCAAAGGCGCAAUGAAAGUGAAGGCUUCUUACGGAGCUGAUGUGUGAUCCCUGGCACUGCGGUGUUGGGGCGCAACAUAGUCCCGUCUCGAUCGCAUGCGAUGGGGCGGAGACAGAGCGUAUGCGCUGAGACCCGAAAGAUGGUGAACUAUUCCUGAGCAGGAUGAAGCCAGAGGAAACUCUGGUGGAAGUCCGAAGCGAUUCUGACGUGCAAAUCGAUCGUCUGACUUGGGUAUAGGGGCGAAAGACUAAUCGAACCAUCUAGUAGCUGGUUCCCUCCGAAGUUUCCCCCAGGAUAGCUGGAGCUCGUUAAGCAGUUAUACUCGGUAAAGCGAAUGAUUAGAGGACUUGGGGACGAAAUGUCCUUAACCUAUUCUCAAACUCUAAAUGGGUAUGAAGCCAGGGUUGCUUGACUCUGAACCCAGGCGUUGAAUGUUUGAGCUCCAAGUGGGCCAUUUUUGGUAAGCAGAACUGGCGAUGUGGGAUGAACCAAACGUGGAGUUAAGGUGCCAAAGUGCCCGCUCAUUAGACCCCAUAAAAGGUGUUGGUUGAUAUAGACAGCAGGACGGUGGCCAUGGAAGUCGGAAUCCGCUAAGGAGUGUGUAACAACUCACCUGCCGAAUCAACUAGCCCUGAAAAUGGAUGGCGCUGGAGCGGGCCACCUAUACUCCACCGUCAUUGGCUUGUACACGUGCUUGUCGCGUAGUCUGGCCAUGACGUGUAGGAGGUUCGUAGUGGUUGCGUUGAAGGCUUUGGGCGUGGGCCCGGCCGGAGCUUCCACCAGUGCAGAUCUUGGUGGUAGUAGCAAAUAUUCAAGUGAGAUCCUUGAAGACUGAAGUGGAGAAGGGUUCCACGUGAACAGCAGUUGAAUGUGGGUCAGCCGAUCCUAAGGCACCGGCUAACGCCGUAACACACUACGGAUGACGACUUUUCUGUGCUUGCGCAGUUGGUCCAUCCGGUUGCCGAAAGGGAAGUGGGUUAACAUUCCCACGCCAGGCUAGGGAAAUGACGGUUCGCAAGAGCUGUUUUGCGCGGUAACGCAAAUGAACUCGCAGACGUCGUGUGGAGUCCGAGCCAGAGUUCUCUUUUCUGGUUUAGGGUGUGCGUGCCUGGAAGUGGCUCAGCCUGAGAUAGGGAUGUUGCGCCCGUAAAGCACCGCGGUUCCUGUGGUGUCUCGUGCGCUCCACACGGCCCUUGAAAAUGCG